rnacentral:rRNA from 1 species
UGGGGAAUAUUGCGCAAUGGGCGAAAGCCUGACGCAGCGACGCCGCGUGGAGGAUGAAGGUCUUAGGAUUGUAAACUUCUGUUAAACGGGAAGAAAGACCUGUAGCGAAUAACUGCAGGGGAUGACGGUACCGUUAGAGAAAGCCCCGGCUAACUUCGUGCCAGCAGCCGCGGUAAUACGAAGGGGGCGAGCGUUAUUCGGAAUUAUUGGGCGUAAAGGGCGCGUAGGUGGCCUGUUAAGUUGGUUGUUAAAUUUCAUGGCCUAACCGUGAGCAAGCAGUCAAUACUGAUAGGCUAGAGGAUGGAAGAGAGAAGUGGAAUUCUCGGAGUAGCGGUUAAAUGCGUGGAUCUCGAGAGGAACACCGUUGGCGAAGGCAGCUUCUUGGUCCAUUACUGACACU